rnacentral:rRNA from 1 species
UUCAGAGGUCUCAAGCGUUAAUCGGAGUCACUAGGCUUAAAGGGUGCGUAGGCGGACCCGCAAGUGCUUUGUGAAAUCCGAUGGCUCAACCAUGGAAUGGCUUGGCAUACUGCGGGUCUUGAGGUCGGUAGGGGCAGCCGGAACUCUAGGUGGAGCGGUGAAAUGCGUAGAUAUCUAGAGGAACGCCGAAGGUGAAGACAGGCUGCUGGGCCGAUUCUGACGCUGAGGCACGAAAGCGUGGGGAGCAAACGGG